UCCGCCGCACCAUCUGGCUUCAUUCUUGGGCGGCAGAUUCCGCCUCCAAGAAGGCUCUAAUUUCCCUUCCCUUUCUCGGUGGGAAGCUCUUUGGGAAGCGUUUGGAGGAGCUCAUCUCGGAGGCCACUGGCGGUAAGAGCUCUCUUCUUCCCCAGAAUCAGCCUCGCCGCCGUCGCUUCCCUGGGUCGUCCUCUCGGGCGCAUCUAUGGAAUCGGC